rnacentral:tRNA from 1 species
GUAGCCAAGCGGUAAGGCAGCGGACUUUGGAUCCGCCAUUCGGAGGUUCGAAUCCUCCC